AAACCAGUAAGGCUGCUCCCAUAAUCUGUUCCCCAGCCUCCAGUCCCUAGCCCACCCUCCCUCUUCCCCAGCAGAGUCCCUACCUCCUCAGGGUCCCCAGCACCUCCCCAGGGUCCCCUCCCCAGGGUCACAGCACCUUCCACAGGGUCACACACCUUCCCCUGUCAUCACUCCCCUGCUCAGGGCCUCCCCAUGCCCAGGGGCAGGCCUGAUGCUCCUGGUCUAGCAAGCAGCCCUGGGUGGAAUCACCCAAGAAGUAGAUCCUGGGGUAUCCUCAUUGCACAGAGGAGGAACCUAUUCAGGAUGAGCCACCCUUGAGGAGCAACCCUUCGAGAAUUUGAACCCAGCCGGAGGGAGGAGUCUAGCCAAGUUCGGUCUCCAGCCGCCUUGCUUUCAGACCCAGCCUAGAGUUCCACACCCUCCCCUCCCCCCAACACCAGUCACAGCCCUGCAGUUGAGAGAUGGACGCGUCAGUAUCCCAAAACAAGCCUCAACCACGGACCAGAGCCUGCGAUAGUGAGUUGAGAUGCCAGGGACCUGAAUCCUGAGGACUCCGACCCUGCAAGCCUAAUAAGCCAUGGACGCUGCUCCGUCAGUAUGGCCCUGGGCUGAGCCAGCGCGGAUGGGCUGGUGGGUGAGAAACUUGAGUUCCUAUGCCUGGAUCCCUCCCCCAACAAAUCCACUAAGAGUGCCACAGGUAUGAUGUAGUCCUGGGCCAGGAUACCCCUGCCUGAACUUCACCCAUGACCCUCGUCCCCACCCCCACCGCAGGGGCCACAGUCUAGUGAGGGUGAACUGAUCAGAGGGGGCCCUAAAUCAAUCCCAGACUUCCCUGGUUGGCAGUGAGUUACGAGCUGUGGGUUUUGUGAUGUAGAUUGUCGUUGGGGAGGAGGGGCCAUGACCUAUGGCAGGUCACACAGGACCCCCAGAAGGGGCCAGAGCUGGGGUCAGAGGCCACCUCCUCCAUUCUCCGCCCCAGCCUGCUGAGUCCCAUUCCAUGUCUAGUCCUUAAGCGGGGUUGGCCCAUUUCCCUACUGACCUCUGGCCCUAGCUGUACCUGCCACUAAGCAUGUAGGGUGGGAGUAGAGGGGCUCAUGCUGGAGAAAGAUUCUAGAAAAAAGGAAGAGGAGCUGACAAGACAUUUGACUCCCAACAGGUGACUGAUCUGUGUUCUAGAUUGCACCGAAGACUUUGCUGAGCUCUUUCUCUGCAAAUUUGCAACUGUGCUCUCCCUAACCGCCCCCCCUUUUUUUUUUCCCUGAUUGAAUUCCACAAGUCAAGACUCCUGAAAAACCCAGCCCAGAGGAUUAGAUGGCUGGAGAUAUGGCAUGACAGUCAGAGAGCGAGAUAGAGAAUCAAGCUUGUGUUCUAAACAAUGUAUAUUAUCAGGACUUAAGAGAGAGAGUUAGAAGGAUAAAAAGAAGGAUCCAGACAAUAAGAUGAGAAAGAUCAAAAGCUGAAAGGAUGGAUAAAAAGUGAAGCCAGACAGAAAGGAGACAGACAGACAGAAGGCAGUGAAGAGAGCCAGGCUGAAGAGAAACCGGAGUGGCAAGAAAAGAGCAUUCUGGAGAACUUUUGUCAGACCUCAGCAGCUCAGAGAUAAUAGCAGGAUAACCUGGACAGUUCCUUCACUGUUAAUCCUUAAGUCUGCCACAUGAGACUCCAGAAGGAAAUGUACCUGACAGAGGGUCCCUAUAUCACCCAAGAUGUUAUCCUUAUUCUACACAUUAACCAGCAACCUCCAUUCUCCCACCACCAUAAUCAUCUCUAUUAGCAAAGACAUAUACAGGCAGGAAGAGUCAAGACCCAGGCUGGGGUGCUGAACAGGGGCUGGGGAGGAACAGAGAGUCCUCUUGAGGACAAAGCCUGUAGAGGACACCUCCAAAGGGGGCACUGCUGCAGAUGGAAGGGGAAAGAAACCUCACAAACCUGGGUGCCCAGACCAGUUGGUUAAUGUUGACCUACAAAAAUAACUCUCUUGUCCUUUGUACUCUGUGCCAAAAAUGGAACCCCACCCCUCUCCCUCUGUGCACCUGUCCUGCCAAGACCUGCCCCUGCGCCUGACCCCAG
ensembl:lncRNA